CCUACGGGUGGCUGCAGUGGGGAAUUUUGGACAAUGGGCGCAAGCCUGAUCCAGCCAUGCCGCGUGCGGGAAGAAGGCCUUCGGGUUGUAAACCGCUUUUGUCAGGGAAGAAACGGCUCGGGCUAAUACCUCGUGCUAAUGACGGUACCUGAAGAAUAAGCACCGGCUAACUACGUGCCAGCAGCCGCGGUAAUACGUAGCGUACAAGCGUUAAUCGGAAUUACUGGGCGUGAAGCGUGCAGACAGGUGUGAAAUCCCCGGGCUCAACCUGGGAACUGCAUUUGUGACUGCAUGACUUGAGUACGGUAGAGGGGGAUGGAAUUCCGCGUGUAGCAGUGAAAUGCGUAGAUAUGCGGAGGAACACCGAUGGCGAAGGCAAUCCACUGGACCGGUACUGACGCUCAUGAACGAAAGCGUGGGGAGCAAACAGGAUUAGAUACCCCAGUAGUC
rnacentral:rRNA from 1 species